ACACCCUUCACUGAGCUCUUUCCCUCCGGUAAAUCCCGAAAUCCGCCUAGAGGAGUCCGGUAAUUGGUGUUGUGCAACGAUUUUCCGGGGGUUCCUAAUGUGGGCCUUCAUCAUACUGUCUGAAGCUGGGAGGUAAGCACAUGUGUGGACAUGAGCAUACAAUACGGUAUGCACCUGCUAUUUGAUUAAUUCAUGCGAGAUGCGGGGACGGUGAAGGGCUAUGGGAGGAGAAGAUGUAGCAAAGAUUUGAAAAUUACUCUACAUUCAUGUAUUCAUUGAUUCUUCGCAUGCUCACAGAUGGUAUAUGAAAAGGUUUUCUGGAUGAAAAAGUUAUGA
ensembl:ncRNA C07H4.3 ncRNA